UACGUAGGGUGCGAGCGUUAAUCGGAAUUACUGGGCGUAAAGCGUGCGCAGGCGGCUUUGCAAGACAGAUGUGAAAUCCCCGGGCUCAACCUGGGAACUGCAUUUGUGACUGCAAGGCUAGAGUACGGCAGAGGGGGAUGGAAUUCCGCGUGUAGCAGUGAAAUGCGUAGAUAUGUGGAGGAACACCGAAUGGCGAAGGCAAGUCCCCCUGGGUCACUACUGACGCUCAUGCACGAAAGCGUGGGGAGCAAACAGGAUUAGAUA
rnacentral:rRNA from 1 species